rnacentral:rRNA from 1 species
ACCUCCAAUCAGUCAAGAAUACCCGCUGAAUUUAAGCAUAUUAUUAGGCGGAGGAAAAGAAACUAACCAGGAUUCCCUCAGUAACUGCGAGUGAAGCGGGAGAAGCUCAGACUGAAAAUCUUCGGAAUUGUAGUCUGGAGAAGCAUGGUCAGCCGAUGGUCUCGGGCAAAGUCUUCUGGAAAGGAGCGCCUUGGAGGGUGACAGCCCCGUUCAUGCCUGAGACUAGAAGCGUACGACCUGCUUUCUACGAGUCGAGUUGUUUGGGAUUGCAGCUCUAAGUGGGUGGUAAAUUCCAUCUAAAGCUAAAUAUUGGUGGGAGACCGAUAGCGAACAAGUACCGUGAGGGAAAGAUGCAAAGAACUUUGAAAAGAGAGUUAAAUAGUACCUGAAAUUGCUGAAAUGGAACCGUUGGGAGGCAGUGUCGGUGUGGGUACUUGUAUCCGCACAAGCCAGGCUUCUUUUGCGGCGCGGGAGAGGCUUUAGAACCUGUAUGGGUCUAUUGUGCCGUCGCGCUGUAGAAGGACUCUGACGAAAUGCCUCUCAUCACCCCGUCUUGAAACACGGACCAAGGAGUCUAACAUGUGUGCGAGUGCUCGGGGUGAACCCCCCAGCGCGAAAUUAACGUAAAGGUGGAUUUAUUCACUUAGGUAGGAACUUCGGUGCACUAUCGACCGACCAUGAUCCUCCGGGAGAAAGGUUUGAGUGUGAGCAUACAUGUUGGGACCCGAAAGAUGGUGAACUAUGCCUGAAUAGGGUGAAGUCAGAGGAAACUCUGAUGGAGGCUCGCAGCGAUUCUGACGUGCAAAUCGAUCGUCAAAUUUGGGUAUAGGGGCGAAAGACUAAUCGAACCAUCUAGUAGCUGGUUCCUCCCGAAAUUUCCCUUAGGAUAGCUGCAACCGAACAGUUUUAUCAGGUAAAGCGAAUGAUUAGAGGCCUCAGGUGUGGAAUGCUCUUGACCUAUUCUCAAACUUUAAAUGGGUAAGAACCCUGGGUUGCUUAAUUGAACCCGGCGGUCGAAUGACGGUUGCUAGUGGGCCAAUCUGGGUAAGCUAGAUUGGCGAUGCGGGAUGAUCCGAACGUCAAGUUAAAGUGCCAAAGUAUCCGCUAACCUAGAUCCCACAAAAGGUGUUGGUUCAUUAAGACAGCAGGACGGUGGCCAUGGAAGUCGGAACCCGCUAAGGAGUGUGUAACAACCCACCUGCCGAAUGAACUAGCCCUGAAAAUGGAUGGCGCUGAAGCGGAUCACUUAUACUUGACCAACACAGCAAAUGCGAGGCUGUGUUGAGUAGGGGGGCGUGGGGCUCGUUGUGCAUUCUGUGGCGUAAGCCGGGAUGAAACGGGCUCUAGUGCAGAUCUUGGUAGCAGUAGCAAAUAUUCAAAUGAGAACUUUGAAGACUGAAGUGGAGAAAGGUUCCAUGUGAACAGUAAUUGGACAUGGGUGAGUCGAUCCUAAGAGAUAGGAGAAUUCUAUUUGAAAGCGGUCCUUCCUCGGAUGGACCCGGCUAUCGAAAGGGAAUCGGGUUAAUAUUCCCGAACCAGAACGUGGAUAAUGAGUGGUAACACAAACGAAACUGGGGACGUUGGCGAGAGCCCCGGGAAGAGUUCUCUUUUCUUUUUAA